rnacentral:misc_RNA from 1 species
GAGCAACAAGCAACAUAUCUCAUAUGAAUAAAGCAAUAAUUCUAUAAAGGUGAUGGAUUGACACAAAGUUCACUCUAAAGUAUGAAUAAUAAAUACAAGUGUAAAUACCUGCAUGAUAUUCAUCUAAAAAAUUAGUCGUUCAAUGACAAUUAUACAAAAAUAAAAAUAUAUGCAUAGAAAUUCCAAUGAUCUACACAUGGAACAUAAAUAUUGCAGUUGUUUUGGAUAUAAACAGGUAAAAACCAUUAAGCCUCCCAAAACGGAGAAGCAAAAUGUUCUAGUAACAUAAAAAACAAUGAUUCUAAGUAUAUAUGAGUGUUGUAAAAUAAAUAAAUUCAGUAUUCUAAACAUGCACAUUAGAGAGAGAGAGAGAGAGA